UACAGGGGGGGCAAGCGUUGUUCGGAAUUACUGGGCGUAAAGGGCUCGUAGGCGGCCAACUAAGUCACACGUGAAAUCCCCAGGCUUAACCUGGGAACUGCGUGUGAUACUGGAUGGCUUGAAUUCGGGAGAGGGAUGCAGAAUUCCAGGUGUAGCGGUGAAAUGCGUAGAUAUCUGGAGGAAUACCGGUGGCGAAGGCGGCAUACUGGACCGACAUUGACGCUGAGGAGCGAAAGCCAGGGGAGCAAACGGG
rnacentral:rRNA from 1 species